AAGUAAACAACAAAGAAAGGGAUUUGGGAUGUUGUCAGUUGUAUGUAUAUUUUAUGUGCGACGGUGACUGCAAGAAAAAAGGAAUGUGGAGCUAAUGCAUUCUCCUAAGGAUGGAAAGGUCUUGUGUUUAUUGGUUGUGCCUGAGUCACCAGUCACAGUUGUACCUUAUUUCCAUUUUAGGGAGUCUAUAUACAUUUGAGGUGAGCGGCAGAUUUGAUUUUGAAGAUGGGUGACUUUCAGAUGUUGUGAUGAAGAUUGUUGAAAGGGAUUAUCAACAUAGAACCAAUCCACAUGAAUGUGCAAAUCAGAAAAAAGGAAUGUGGAGCUAAUGCAUGCUGCUAAGGAUGGAAAAGUCUUGUGUUUAUUGGUUGUGCCUGAGACACCAGUCACAGUUGUACCUUAUUUCCAUUUUAGGGGGUAUAUAUACAUUUGAGGUGAGCGGCAGAUUUAAUUUUGAAGAAGGGUGACUUUCAGAUGUUGUGAUGAAGAUUGUUGAAAGGGAUUAUCAGCAUAGA